rnacentral:lncRNA from 1 species
GCCGGAUUGAAAAGGAGGGUGACAGAGAAACCCUCAGGACGGGCUUCUCGGGGUUGGCCCUUGUUGGGCUCCAGCUGAGAAACUGGAAGUCUACUAACUACCUUCUAGCAUAGCUUCAAGAAAGUGGAUUGUUUUCUCCCAGGUCUUCUUGCAGACCCCGGAUUAUCAGGAACUUAACUCUGUGAUUCAUGCGCUUCCUCAUACCGAGAAAUCGGAGCAUCCGCUUGGAAAGCAGAGGCAGCAUUUCGCCCAGCUGUGUAUUGUGAUCUUCUUCCGGACGCAGGUGCCUUAAUGAAGCUCUCGACAUAUUUUAGGAGCUGCUCAGGGAGUGUUAGGCGGAACUGUUUGGACUACAUUGUUUUCUCUUAGAUUAUGUGAUCUUUGUUGGGCACUGGCAAAGAUCCUUUUAUAUCAAUGCUGAGACCCCCCUCUCUGUGUAUGUCUGACUCCUGCCAUAAUUCACGUGAACAAGUGCCUCCUCAUGCUCUUCUGCCGCUUGUUUGCUAAGAUGCACCCCCCUCCCCCACCCUGCUGUCUCUCCCAGUCCACCGUUUUCAG